rnacentral:lncRNA from 10 species
CCUGAGGUAUAUAACUCAUAGUGGGCUGCCUUUUGGGGCCCCUCACUUGUGGUGCACAUGGGGCAUGUACGGGCAACACUCAAUCCUGCCCAGGAAGCUUCCUUGAGCCUUGAGGGCUGCCUCACAAUGGAUCCUAGGCUUCUUUUUUCCCUUGCUGCUUGCCUAAAUGUAAAUUAAAUGCUCUCAAGGGAUGAGAGACACUGGAAGCUGGGACGCUCUUGGAACUCUGUUGCCAUCAUCAAGGUCAGCAGUCCAACUACCAGGGCCAGAGCCCCAUCAAAGAAUCUUCAGUGCCAGCCAGAAAGAAUGAUGAACUCCUCGUGUAAAGGGAGUUUGGGGCAACCAGUCAAACCAUGGCCUCAUGGGAAGCAGCUGACUAGGCAAUGAGAGAGGAAUACAAAAGACAAGGCACUGCGAAGCCAAGUCUGGUUGGGGAGAAGAAACCAAUAUGCCUGAAACAGGGAACCAGAAAGGACUCAGACAAAACUGCUGACAAGUAUGGGGUUUCUUGGGGUAGGUGGUGAAAAUAUUCCAAAAUAAGAUUAUAGCGAUGUUUUAAUAAUCCCCUGGAUAUAAUAAAAAAACAUCGAAUUGUACACUUCAAAUGAGUGAACUGUGUGGUAUGUGAAUUAUAUAUCUCAAUAAAGAUGUUUUAAAA